rnacentral:lncRNA from 1 species
GAUAGUGGAAAAAGAGAUAGAGAUAAAUGAGGAGAAGAUAGGGGAAAAAAUGGAGAGAAAUAAGGAAAAGAUAGAGGAGGAAAAGAUAAAGAUAUAUGAGGAGAAAAUAAAGGAGAAAAACAUGGAGAGAAAGGAGGAGAAGAUAGAGGAGAAAAAAUUGGAGAAAAAGGAGGAGACGAUUGAGGAAGAAAUGAUAGAAAGAGAUUGAAAGGAAGAAGAAACAGAAAAGUUUGUUAAGGAAGAUAAUGAUGAUGAGGGAGAAAAAGCAGUGGUUGAGAGAAGAAAAAAGAGAAAAAUUGUGAAAAUAAAGAAAGAAAGAAAAAUGAAAAAGAGAAAGUUGAGGGAGAAAAGUGAGAAAAAGAGGAAGAGAGGAAAGAAGAAAAUAUCAUAUGAAAAACCUCUUCCUCAUCAAAAGAAAUAUCAUAGGAAAGAAAAGAAGUUUAAGUGCUUUAUGGAGAUCUUCAAUAAAUCGGAGAUUAAAGUUCC